rnacentral:rRNA from 1 species
CAGAGGGUGCGAGCGUUAAUCGGAAUUACUGGGCGUAAAGCGCACGUAGGCGGCUUGGUAUGUCGGGUGUGAAAUCCCCGGGCUCAACCUGGGAACUGCAUCCGAAACUGCCCUGCUAGAGUAUGGGAGAGGGAAGUGGAAUUUCCGGUGUAGCGGUGAAAUGCGUAGAUAUCGGAAGGAACAUCAGUGGCGAAGGCGACUUCCUGGACCAAUACUGACGCUCAGGUGCGAAAGCGUGGGGAGCAAACAGGAUUAGAUACCCUGGUAGUCCACGCCCUAAACGAUGACAACUGGAUGUCGGGAGGGUUUGCCUUCCGGUGUCGUAGCUAACGCGUUAAGUUGUCCGCCUGGGAAGUACGGCCGCAAGGUUG